UACGUAGGGUGCGAGCGUUGUCCGGAAUUACUGGGCGUAAAGAGCUCGUAGGUGGUUCGGUAAGUCGGAUGUGAAAGCCCGGGGCUUAACCCCGGGUCUGCAUUCGAUACGGGCAGGCUAGAGUGUGGUAGGGGAGAUCGGAAUUCCUGGUGUAGCGGUGAAAUGCGCAGAUAUCAGGAGGAACACCCGUAGCGAAGGCGGCACUCUGGGCCGUGACUGACGCUGAGGAGCGAAAGCGUGGGGAGCAAACAGG
rnacentral:rRNA from 1 species